rnacentral:rRNA from 1 species
ACGCACGCUGGCGGCGUGCCUCAUACAUGCAAGUAGAACGCUGAAGAGAGGAGCUUGCUCUUCUUGGAUGAGUUGCGAACGGGUGAGUAACGCGUAGGUAACCUGCCUGGAAGCGGGGGAUAACUAUUGGAAACGAUAGCUAAUACCGCAUAAAAUUGAUUAUUGCAUGAUAAUUAAUUGAAAGAUGCAACUGCAUCACUACCAGAUGGACCUGCGUUGUAUUAGCUAGUUGGUGAGGUAACGGCUCACCAAGGCGACGAUACAUAGCCGACCUGAGAGGGUGAUCGGCCACACUGGGACUGAGACACGGCCCAGACUCCUACGGGAGGCAGCAGUAGGGAAUCUUCGGCAAUGGGGGGAACCCUGACCGAGCAACGCCGCGUGAGUGAAGAAGGUUUUCGGAUCGUAAAGCUCUGUUGUAAGAGAAGAACGGGUGUGAGAGUGGAAAGUUCACACUGUGACGGUAUCUUACCAGAAAGGGACGGCUAACUACGUG